rnacentral:tRNA from 1 species
AAGGAUUUAAGUUAACCUGAUAAACUAACAACCUUCAAAGUUGUAAAUAGAAAAUGUCUAAGCCUUA